CUGAAUAAUUGAUUCUGAAUGAAGUGAUGAAUGUAUUGAUUUUACAAUGAUGUGUGUUUGUGUCUUUUUUUGUGUUAGUAUACUAAUAUGCUGUCUGUGUCAAAAUAAUGCUUCAAUUUUAAACGUCGGGGGUAGUUUCCGAUAUCAUAGUGAAUAGAAUAAUAUCCUUGCUACAUUAUACAGUUUGAAAAAAAGAUCAAUUUUUUAUAUGUUUGUAACUUAAAACGAAUUACAUAAUUUUCUUAGGAGAUUACUAUACCUUUGGGGAUGCACACAGUGGUAUUUCAAGAUCUUUACCAAGUAUGUUCUCAAUAGUGUCUUCUCUACUAUCAGUACUAUCAGCUCUAAAAGGUGGCUUGAAGUUCAUGUUAACAUGUCAAACUUGAAAGCUCCAAGAGACCACCAAUCGGCAGGUUUUCCGUCAAUAUUUCUGGUGCCAUGAUAUCAUAAAUUAAUGAUAUUAAAUAAAUGUUU